rnacentral:tRNA from 1 species
GAGGGUAUAGCUCAGCGGUGGAGCACAUGCCUAGCAUGCACAAGGUUCUGGGUUCAAUCCCCAGUACCUCUG